GUUGAACGCUGGCGGCGUGCCUAAUACAUGCAAGUCGAGCGAAGCGGGGACGGGUGAGUAACACGUGGAUAACCUCCUAUAAGACUGGGAUAACUUCGGGAAACCGGAGCUAACCCCGAUACUUAUAGAUGGAUCCACGCUGCAUUAGCUAGUUGGUGAGGUAACGGCUUACCAAGGCAACGAUGCAUAGCCGAACUGAGAGGGUGAUCGGCCACACGGGGACGGAGACACGGUCCAGACUCCUACGGGAGGCAGCAGUAGGGAAUCUUCCGCAAUGGGCGAAAGCCUGACAGAGCAACGACGCGUGAGUGAUGAAGGUCUUCGGAUCGUAAAACUCUGUUGUUAGAGAAGCGGUAUCUAACCAGAAAGCCACGGCUAACUACGUGCCAGCAGCCGCGGUAAUAC
rnacentral:rRNA from 1 species